UACGUAGGCAGCGAGCGUUGUUCGGAGUUACUGGGCGUAAAGAGCGCGCAGGCGGUCGUUCAAGUCGCGUGUGAAAGCCCCCGGCUCAACUGGGGAGGGUCACGCGAUACUGAUCGACUCGAAGGCAGGAGAGGGUAGUGGAAUUCCCGGUGUAGUGGUGAAAUGGCGUAGAUAUCGGGAGGAACACCAGUAGCGAAGGCGGGUCUCUGGGCCGAUACUGACGCUGAGGAGCGAAAGCGUGGGGAGCGAACAGG
rnacentral:rRNA from 1 species